rnacentral:misc_RNA from 1 species
AAAUGCGAUAAGUAAUGUGAAUUGCAGAAUUCAGUGAAUCAUCGAAACUUUGAAAGCACCUUGCGCUCCUUGGUAUUCCUUGGAGCAUGCCUGUUUGAGUAUCAUGAAAUCUUCAAAGUAAAUCUUUUGUUAACUCAAUUGGUUUCUACUUUGGUAUUGGAGGUCUUUGCAGCUUCACACCUGCUCCUCUUUGUUCAUUAGCUGGAUCUCAGUGUUAUGCUUGGUUCCACUCGGCGUGAUAAGUUAUCUAUCGCUGAGGACACUGUAAAAGGUGGCCAAGGUAAAUGCAGAUGAACCGCUUCUAAUAGUCCAUUGACUUGGACAAUACUUUUAUGAUCUGAUCUCAAAUCAGGUAGGACUACCCGCUGAACUUAAGC